rnacentral:rRNA from 1 species
AAUCAACGCUGGCGGCGUGCCUAACACAUGCAAGUCGUGCGAUAAAAGGGGAGCAAUCCCCUGAGUACAGCGGCGCACGGGUGAGUAACACGUGGGUAAUCUGCCCUGGAGUGGGGAAUAACACCGGGAAACCGGUGCUAAUACCGCAUACGAUCACAGAGUCUGCGGAUUUUGUGAUGAAAGGAGCAAUUCGCUCUAGGAGGAGCCCGCGGCUGAUUAGCUAGUUGGUGAGGUAAUGGCUCACCAAGGCAACGAUCAGUAUCCGGUCUGAGAGGACGGUCGGACACACUGGAACUGAGACACGGUCCAGACUCCUACGGGAGGCAGCAGUGGGGAAUUUUUGGCAAUGGGGGCAACCCUGACCAAGCAACGCCGCGUGGGUGAUGAAGUCUCUUGGGACGUAAAACCCUUUCGACGGGGACGAAACCGCAAGGUUGACGGUACCCGUAGAAGAGGCCCCGGCUAACUCCGUGCCAGCAGCCGCCGCAG